UCCCGUGUGGCUCAGUUGUUAGAGCAUGGUGUUUGCAACACCAGGGUUGUGGGUUCAAUUCCCACGAGGGAC
rnacentral:tRNA from 1 species